rnacentral:misc_RNA from 1 species
GGCCCUUCCAUCUUCUUUUUAUUGAAUAUUUUACAAAAAAAUACUGAGCGAUCUCACUUUACCAAAACUUAAAAAAGGAAUUAAAUUCAAAGAAAAAAAAAGAAUUCCCAUUAGAUCUGCAAUGAUUCUUCUUCUACCAAAAUCCAAGGCCUAGGUCUAGGACAAACAAAAAGUUGUUCUUCUUGAUUAAGCCUUGAGCAGAAAAUCAGUGAUUGAGCACCUGGGGAUGAUU